AAUGAACGUUGGCGGCAUGGAUUAGGCAUGCAAGUCGAGCGAGAAGGGUUUUGAAGCUUGCUUUAGAACCCGGACAGCGGCGAAAGGGAGAGUAACGCGUAGUUAUGUGCCCUAGGGACCGGAAUAGCCACGGGAAACUGUGGGUAAUGCCGGAUAACAUCCCCGGAUCAGAGGUGUGAUUCCGCCCUAGGAGCAGACUGCGUCCUACUAGCUAGUUGGUGGGGUAAUGGCCCACCAAGGCAAUGAUGGGUAGCGGGUGUGAGAGCAUGACCCGUCUCACUGGGACUGAGACACUGCCCAGACACCUACGGGUGGCUGCAGUCGAGAAUCUUCGGCAAUGGGCGAAAGCCUGACCGAGCGAUGCCGCGUGCGGGAUGAAGGCCCUCGGGUUGUAAACCGCUGUCGUAGGGGAGGAAGGUUCCGUGAAGAGCGGGACUUGACCUAUCCUAGGAGGAAGUACGGGCUAAGUUCGUGCCAGCAGCCGCGGUAACAC
rnacentral:rRNA from 1 species